ensembl:lncRNA
CUCUCAGGACCGAGAAAAUGAAGCUCUUGACAUAUUUUUAUCACAGUAAAUAUCCAAGUUUACUGAUUGUUCCAUAGAUAAAAUAGAUAGUCUACUCUAAUCCAUAGAUUAGGAAUGAAUAUAUACACUAGAGGAAAAAAAAAAUUACUCAGAUAUAGCUUCAGUGCCUGUGUGAGCUUCCUUGAGCACAAAAAUUUUAUAUUUAUUGUGUUUCUCUUUCAUCCAAAACUAAUUUGAAGUAGUAGAUAAUCAUUUAUUGAUAUAAUUGUCAAUUUCAGGCAGCAUUUAGCACAUUACUACUCUUAGAUGACAGACUAAAUUCUUCCUCUUGCUCUUUUCAACCAGUGUGUGAACAUCAAAUCCUUGGUAUCACAUGAGGUACCUGAGACUGCUUGGUUUUAAUGUUCUCUGGGAUCACACUUACUUUGUAUGCACUGCUGACAUUCAAAUAUCAGCCAGAUGUUGUUGUGAUUUUAUUUUCAACUCCACUGGCCAAAUUGUAUGAACCACUCCACGCUGAUCAGGUUCAUGCAACUUGUUGGGUGAAUCUUUCAGGCAAAAAUUAUCAUCUUAUGAUGACCUUCUUCCUAUGUCUCCCCAGUGAUUCAAUUUGAAUGUAUUCUGAUUUACAAAGGAAAUCAGGGUUUCUAAAUCUGAUUAAUUACAGUCACUAAAUAUGCAAUAAAUUGCAGUAAGCUUAUAUAUACAGAAGGAUUCUCCAGUCUUAUAAAUACUAGAACUUUCAAAUGGAGCAAGUUCUUAUUCAUUUUGAAUUCUUUUUUUAAUAGCAAUCAGAAUCCCUGCUUUGAGGAUGACUUCUCAUAUUCAGCACCAUCUAUACUUGUUCUUGUACCUGUAUGUAAACCGACACAAGAAAGAUGAUGAGGAAUCGGAACAGGCAGCCCGUUGAGGUG